rnacentral:lncRNA from 1 species
GCCUGUGUCUGUUGAGCCCUGGCCUAGGACCUGAGCCCUGGGGAGGGGGAGGGCAGUGGCCUCAGCAGGCCCCGGACGCCCAGUCCCUAGCAUUGUUCGUGUGAUGUUGCUAGUGCCUGCCAGGUAGACCGGACUGACCUCCGGGCACCUCCCUCAAGCCAAUGCUGCAGGUACUUGGUAUGGGGCGUCAGGGACUUUGAUAAGAAGAGACAGGGCAGAAGGAUUAGCCAGGGGCUGCCGCCUAGAGUUCCCACCGGAGUGGAGUGACACCACUCGGGCUCCCUCAGCAACUGGCAGCAUCUUUUUCUUACAGGUGCUCAGCUCUGUCAGCUGCAGAUUCACUGAGAACUCCUACCUUGGUAUUCCUCACACUAACCCCCCUCUUUCCAUUUCCCCAGGCUCUAGAAAGGGCCCGUGAACAGAAAGCUGGCUGCGAAAGGGCUGGCCAGAACCCCCAUGAGACCUUAACUGACUCACUUUCUCAGGGUAACAUCAAGGCAAGAACACCUGUUUCAGGGUCCCUGUGGGGCUCUUGGCAUGUGGGCAAAGUUCCUGGACUGAGUCUUCACACCACAAACUGUAGCUAUGCCAUCUUAUUUUAGAGAUGGGAAGUCGGGCUCAGGAUAGCCACUCGCCAGGGGCAAAGCCAGCUUGUUUGAAUCCGAGUUCACCCUAACAGGGAAAGAAAUGGGGGAAAUACAACCUAACUCAAGACCCCAGGGCUUCUCCAUGCCUAUUCUUAAAAGUUCCUGUCAGAGAUAAAGCCAGGAUGCCAGUCUUGGGUCUAUCAUUGACUUGGCUGUGUAUAGCUGGCCAAGGUCAUCAUUUCAGAGCCUUGGGGCCAUUCUGAUUGAAGGAGAGAGGACAUUCUGGCCAAGACCAGGCACACUGCAGGGGGAGGGGAAGGAAGGAUAUGGACAGGAGUAAGGAGAAGGCCUUCUUCCCUUCCCCCCAUAAAUAUAUACCUUCUACCUGUCUGCUCUGCUGAUACAGCAUACAGUGAUACAGCCAGGCUGGAGAGCUGAUGGGCAAUAUUUAGCAAAUUAGAUCAACACGUACCCUGUGACCCAGCAACUCAAAAUGAAUUCUCACAGAGGCCCUUAAGAACCUUGCUUCUCAAACUUGUGGUCCCACCAGGACCAGCAAUGU